CGGCCGCAGUACCCUGACUGUGCAAAGGUAGCAUAAUAAAUUGAUUUUUAAUUGGAGUCUAGAAUGAACGGAGGAACGUAUAUUAACUAUCCAAAAAUAAUUUUUUUAAAAUUUUUUAUUAGGUGAAAAUACCUAAAAAUUUUAAUAGACGAGAAGACCCUAAGAAUUUUAAGAAAAAAAUAUACAUUCUUUUUGCUGGGGCGGCAAAGGAUCAAAGAACAUCCUGUUUAUCGAAUAUCGUAGUAAAUUACCUUAGGGAUAACAGCAUUAAUGUGACCUCGAUGUUGGACUAGGAAUUUUUUUAAUUAGCCA
rnacentral:rRNA from 1 species